AUGUGUGAAAGCAAUUUGUUGAUUACAGCUGAUUUCUGUUUCUCUCAGGUUUCUUUAAAUGAUGGUGCACACCAGCUCCGAAUUUUUCACAACAAUCCUUGCCCAGAUCAGCCCUUCUCUGCCAGUUCUCUGACUUUGGUAGGACGGUAUGUGCCCUGUGCAACCCUGCUGGUGAGGGUUUUCAAGGCUCCUACAGAUUUCAGACACCAAACUUUGCAGAGAAACAUGGUCCCCCAGGCACACUGGGUCAAUAUGGGUCUCUUCCAACCUAGGCCAGAUUAUUCUGAAGAAGUAUAUUACUCAGAUUCAGCCAAGCCUGAUGGAGGAGAAAUUUACUUCUAUGAAGCCAUGAUGAACAGGUGAGCUGUUUAGGAUGUUUCUACGAAUGUUUUAUAGGAUCAAUGGAAAUAAAAUGCCAUAUCAAUAAGAGGUAACUGUCA
rnacentral:lncRNA from 1 species